rnacentral:lncRNA from 1 species
GAUCCCUUCAGCAUACUUUCCAGCAGCAUCACCUGCACAGACCAGUGUGGGCAGUUUGCCUAUGAAUUCCAAGACGUAUUGUCAGCUUGAUGCUUUGGGGAAGGGGGGGUGCCUACUAAAAUGCCUUGAAAGUAUUUCUAAUCACUUCUCAGAAAAGGUGGUUUUCUCUGAGGCUCUCCUACCCCUUGCACACACCUUAUAAGUAGUAAUUGUUUCUGGAUAUUUUGACCAAUAGUGAAAUAUUCUGAAAAAGGUGGGAUAACUUCCAAGGCUUGAGGAUUUUUUUUAAAGAGGCAAAAAUAUGAUCUUUGCAACUGACAAAAUAAUGUGUCCCUGUUCCUGGGAUGCAUUUUUAUCUAGUAUAGGUACCGUAAUCUCUGUGUGUAUGUGGCUAAGGAUUCUGUGGAGAUUUUAGUGCCAAAAUUAACUUUGGAAGUAGUUUGUCAGUGAAAAAGAAAUUAAAAAGUAACUUACUAUUUCUUGUCUGGUUUAAUUUGUCUCCUCUCCUUUCUCCUUUCCUUCUCUUUCUGUUCUUCCGGUGUGCUCAGUGCCUUUUCCCCCCCUCUCUUUCCGCAGUUUUGGGGACAAGUUCCCUUUAGAGUGAUUUUCCUCCCUAGAUUGAAUUUUGAGUUCCAGACGCAUUUUGCUUCCUUCGUUUUUCUGUUCAAAGUAUACUUCUUGCAUUUCCAUGGCCUCACUCUUCAAUCUGGAUCUUUCUCUACUCCUUUGCCUCUCCAGCUUUCUCACUACCAUUCCCCCAGCUCAAUUAACCUCACCGGCCCUGGUUCUCGGAAAGAUUGCCUUCCAUUUUUUGCUUAGCUUCAGCCUCCGUAUCCAUUUACUCCACUUCCACCUUCGUAUCAUCACCCGCCACCCCUCCCACCCGAUCGCCAAGUCCGUCUCCUGGGCUCAGGGGGCCAGUUGCGCGCCCAAGGUCUGAUCCUUUCUUCUUCAGUACUCCCAACUAGCUUUCCCCCGCCCCCGGCCGCCCCACUUCUAUCCCCACCCCACCCCCCAGCCUCCACCUUUUUCCAAAUCCUUUCUGGCCUCUUCCCAUCCACCCGGCUUCCUCCAGCUGCGUGGUCCAGCAUCUACGUCUCUGCCUUUCCCUGGCUCCGCAGCCAGCCUGGGCACCGAUCCUGGGCUUUUCGGCACUAUCCUCCAGCCACACCUCUCGGGGUGCUGCUUGCUGCCUCCCAGGCUCCGCUUCGUGAGUCAGGGUAGGAUCGAAACAGCGCGGGUGCAGCCCGGGUCCUCCAGCGUGGGCUGCAGGCGAGCGCGCCAGCGUGCAGGAUGCUGGACCUUGAGCCGCUCAGAGAGGAGGGGUUUGGCGGUGGCUGUGUUCCGGAGCAGAGGCCCGGGUCUGCCUCUGGGCCCCAGUCGCCCUUGUUCUCCACGCCCCGGGUCAGGAGGGAAGGAGAGGGGCCUCUGGUCCCCCUGCAGGUGGGCAAGAAAACCGCUCCGCAGAUGCUGCGCGCUGGUGUUUCUUUCUCGCGUGUCCUGAGCCUGGAGCUGCCAACACCAGAGUCCGAGGCUCCAGUGCAG